GAUGAAGAACGUAGCGAAAUGCGAUAAGUAAUGCGAAUUGCAGAAUUUCCGUGAGUCAUCGAAUCUUUGAACGCACAUUGCGCCCGCCAGUAUUCUGGCGGGCAUGCCUGUCCGAGCGUCAUUUCAACCAUCAAGCCCCGGGCUUGUGUUGGGGACCUGCGUCCGACGCAGGCCCUGAAAACCAGUGGCGGGCUCGCUGUCCACACCGAGCGUAGUAACUAACCUCGCUAUGGAGUGGCGCGGGCGCCUGCCGUAAAACCCCCAAUUUCACAAGGUUGACCUCGGAUCAGGUAGGAAUACCCGCUGAACUUAAGCAUAUCAAUAAGCGGAGGA
rnacentral:misc_RNA from 1 species